CUUACAGACAUUUUUUAAGAUCUAAAACAUAAUGGAAGAUAAGAGUCCAGGAACCUACAAAGUAACCAAUGCGGCACUGCAGAGGCUAAGAAGGCGCAUGGAAAAUCUAAAGAAGCAUAGUUCAACUUGUGAGGCCAGAUUUGAAAAGGAAAAGAUAAAUCCCGAAGCGCAGAUGUCAGACACCGAGGCUGCCAGUACCUCUGAGGCUGCCU